rnacentral:lncRNA from 1 species
GUGGAAGAUAACCAUCAGAAAGUCUAGCUUAAAUUGAAAACUCCUGUAUGAGUUGUCCAGGAGUGAAUUCAUUUGCAGAUGACUGUGUGGAAGGAAGGACAGCAAGAGUAAGCAACGAAAGACCAGGAAAAUCCUCUGAAAAUUUGUGCAUGGGAGCUGAAUAUGAGUUUAUUGUGAUGGAUUUUGUGGCAAAGAAAUGAGAGCUUGUACUGAAAUAUCACUUUCUAUUUAUUUAUAUAUGCCUUGAGAAAGAAAUUAGAGCAGUAUACUGUGUGCUACUGCCAUACAGUCUGUUUCCCAAAAUCCAGAACUUCACAUUCCCACAUGGGAGGCAACUUUCUGUCACUGUGGUC